rnacentral:lncRNA from 1 species
CUGGGACCCAGGCCCCGCCCUCUCCCGGAGCUACGGCCCCACCCCUCUCCAGCCCCACACCUGUCCGGCCCCACGCUUCUGUCUCCGCCCUCUCCUGGGAUUAAGCGCCGCCCCCUUGGCGGUGUGGCCACGCCCACCGCCGAUGAGCCACGCCCCCCCCACCGGCCCCGGAAAAGUCCCACCGCGCCGCCUACUGGUCGCGCUACUGAGAUGCGGUCACACUCACACACGCGCGCCCCUCCCCUCCUAAACUUCCGGUCGGCUCCGACCAGCGCAAGCCCCGCCUCCAGGUCCAGACCACGCCCCACUGCCCUCUGGCACUCAACUAAGCCUGCUGCAAAUAAUGCCCCCGUCAAAACUUGGGGGAGAUAGGGAAACCAAGUCACGGGGAGGGGAAAUGACUUGGUCCCAGAGGCGGAGUUACAAAAAAGGCAGGUCCAGAAUGGUGGCUGUGGUGCAGGCCUUUAGUCCCAGAACUCCGGAGGUGGAGGAAGGCAGAUCUCCGAGAUCCAGGCCAGCCUGGUCUACAGAGUGAGUUCCAAUCAGCCAGGGCUACACAGAGAAGCUCUGUCUCAAAAAAAGAGCAAAACCAGAAUCCUAAUAAGGCCACACUACUAUAAUGGUCCCCAUGGGUGAAAGGUAAACUGAGGCAUGGGACCUUUCCAAACCACCAGCCAGAAAGUAGCAGAAUGAGGCAUGAACCCUGGACUGUUGGUGCUUUUAGUAAGGGUGCAAAUGACCUCCUGAUGCCAUCUCUGGCUUGGAACAGGUGUAACAUGAGGUCGGCUGUAUGAAUAACAGGCACAGAAUAAGUGCAGUCUAGAUUUCAGUCACCUUUCCUCCCCUAGACAGCCUCACUAUGUAGCCCUGGAUGGCCUGGAACUCCAUUUGUAGACAAGACUGGCUUUUUUGGUUUUUGUUUUGUUUUUCCAGACAGGGUUUCUCUGUGUAGCCCUGGCUGUCCUGAAACUCGCUUUGUAGACCAGGCUGGCCUCAAACUCACAGAGAUCCUCCUGCCUCUGCCUCCCGAGUACUGGGAUAAAAGGCAUGUGACACCACCACCCAGUUUCAGACUGGCUUUGAACUCAUGGAGAUCCGCCGGCCUCUGCCUUUGAGUGCUGGGAUUAAAAGCAUGGGCCACCAUGCACAGAGCCUUGGUGAUUUUUUUCUUCUGUUUUUGAGAUUUAUUUAAUUUUGUGAAUAGGAGUAUUUUGCUUACAUGUAUGUGUGUGUUCCUGGUGCCUGUGGAGGCCAGGAGAGAGCACCAGAUCCCCUGGAACUGGAGUUAUGGAUAGUUGUGAACUUGCGUGUAGGUGCUGGGAAGCAAUCCCUAGCCCUCUACAAGAAAGAACAACAAAUGGAGUAUGUGUGUGUGUUUAUAUUUUUAUUGGUUUUGUUGUUGUUGUUUUUUCAAGACAGGGUUUCUCUGUGGCUUUGGAGCCUAUCCUGGAACUAGUUCUUAUAGACCAGGCUGGCCUCAAACUCACAGAGAUCCACCUGCCUCUGCCUCCUGAGUGCUGGGAUUAAAGGUGUGCGCCACCACCGCCCGGCAUGUGUUUAUAUUUUUAAAUAGUUUUUGUUUAGGAAGGGUUUAUAUGCCACAGCAUGUGAGCAAGUCUCAGGAGUCAGUUCUCUCCUUCAGGAUCUCAGAUCGCCAGGGAUUGAACACAGGCUGUCAGGCUUGGUGGCAAGCACCUUUACCUGCUGAGCCAUUUUACGGGCCCUGGAUCAUACCUCCUCUCCGAGUACCCCUCUCCCCUUCUCUUACUCCUUCUCCCCUUCUUCUCAUGGUGUGGAGGGCAUGCUUGGAAGUUCAGAGUACAGAUUUAGGGAGUUGAUCCUCUCCUUCUAUCAUGAUUCCAGAAACCAAACUAAGAUGGUCAUGGCAUAGCUUUUACCUUGCCAACCCAUGUAAAAGACGGAGGAGGUCUAGGGUGUUAGCAUUGACUUCACUAUUGACUUUGUAAAAUUCCGCUCCUGCUCUUUCGCCCAUGGACGGUCUUUUCUUUUUUCCCCCCCUCUUUGCACCUGCUCUUCUGGACUGCCACCAAGUGGGCUUGGCUCUCUCCUGGCUGGUCUUUGUGGGCAGGGCCGGCUCAGGAAGGAAGCCAGCAGAGUGCAGGCUGGAGUGUGGAGCUCCCAGAUUACAUGCCUAUGAGGCAUACUUAAAAUUUAAGAUCAACUUGGUUUGUUGACAAAGGACUGGGUGGGUCUCAUGCCUGUGAAGUCAGCUUCCAGGGUCAAGGAGUCCCAGAGGUAGCUCUUCGCUCAAGAGUGGUAAGCCUGCUGGGCACAAAUCCAAAGGCUUCCUGUAGCAAGUAACUUACCUGCCCAGAAACCCUGCUCUUGUGCCCAGAGGAAGCAGCAGCCACCUUCCUUUGGCCAAGCAAGCAUUUGAGCCCCCCACAGACCCCCCCCAUCAGUGGUAUUGUCUCAGUGAUGGAAGUGGAUUUGCUCCUGGAUCCAACUGUGCCUGGAGAUAAUUUGCCUUUGAAUUUCCCAGUUGCACAUCUAACUUUUACUAGUGGUGGG